CGGGGUGCACAGGCGCGAAAACUUUACAAUGCCGGCAACGGCGAUAAGGGAACCUCGAGUGCCAGGUUACAAAUCUGGCUGUCGUGAUGCCUAAAAAGCAUUGCAUAGCAAGGGCCGGGCAAGACCGGUGCCAGCCGCCGCGGUAACACCGGCGGCUCGAGUGGUAACCGUUAUUAUUGGGUCUAAAGGGUCUGUAGCCGGCCGGAUAAGUCUCUUGGGAAAUCUGGCAGCUUAACUGUCAGGCUUUCAGGAGAUACUGUCUGGCUCGAGGCCGGGAGAGGUGAGAGGUACUUCAGGGGUAGGGGUGAAAUCUUGUAAUCCUUGAAGGACCACCAGUGGCGAAGGCGUCUCACCAGAACGGACCUGACGGCAAGGGACGAAAGCUAGGGGCACGAACCGGAUUAGAUACCCGGGUAGUCCUAGCCGUAAACGAUACUCGCUAGGUGUCGGCCACGGUGCGACCGUGGUCGGUGCCGUAGGGAAGCCGUGAAGCGAGCCACCUGGGAAGUACGGCCGCAAGGCUGAAACUUAAAGGAAUUGGCGGGGGAGCACAAGGGCGAAUCGCGG
rnacentral:rRNA from 1 species